AACCUUAUGGACCUGCGGGCGUAUACCUGCGGAGGGAUCAUUACACAAUACAAUAUGAAGGCUGUCCGCAGCUGGAGUAUUUUAUUACCCUUGUCUUUUGCGCACUUGUUGUUUCCUGGGCGGGUUCGCUCGCCACCAGGACCACCAAAUAAACCUUUUUUAUGCAGUUGCAAUCAGCGUCAGUACAAACAAUGUAAAUCAUUUACAACUUUCAGCAAUGGAUCUCAGAUCGGAAGAGCA
rnacentral:misc_RNA from 1 species